CCUGAUUAAGAAUUCCAACAUAUCUAUUACAUGGGAUUGAAACAAUUCCUAUUACAAUAUGCUACAAGAAAAAUCCUCCUCGUGGUCGACAUUGAACUCCGGCCUGGGAACUUGAAGUUUAUCUGCGUAGAUUAUCUUCGACACCGUUAUGUUUGAUGGUUUGCCAUAUAUCUCUGUAUCUUUCAAGCAUAGGAUACAUCCAUGCAUUUUCAAUAUUUAACACUCAUAUCAUGGAAUUCAUUUCAGAGAACCCCUGCUUGGAGCAUAAUUGUUGUUUCUAUUUGGUUGAUGGUUUAUGCCAUAAUUGUCUACUUGUUAUAUGGAUGUUGUAUGCCAUGGAAUUCGUAUGAGAGAACCCAUGUCAUAGCGUAGCUUUAUUAUUUUAUGGCUCAUGCCGCGGAAUUCGUAUGGAAGAAUCCAUGCCAUAAGAUUUUUUUUAUAUAUUUUUUAUCAUCUUGUGACUUAUGUCGUGGAAUUCGUAUGAAGGAACCCACGACGUAAGAUACUAUGUAUGUUUUUUAUUUUACGACUUAUGUCAUGGAAUUCAUAUGCAAAGAACCCAUGACAUAGCAUAAUUUGUAUUUCCUUUGGUUUUAUGACUUAUGCCAUGGAAUUCAUAUGAGAAGAAC
rnacentral:lncRNA from 1 species